UACGGGGGGGGUAAGCGUUGUUCGGAUUUACUGGGCGUAAAGGGCGCGUAGGCGGCCUCCGCAAGUCAGUUGUGAAAUCUCCGAGCUUAACUCGGAAAGGUCAACUGAUACUGCGGGGCUAGAGUGCGGAAGGGGCAACUGGAAUUCUUGGUGUAGCGGUGAAAUGCGUAGAUAUCAAGAGGAACACCUGCGGCGAAGGCGGGUUGCUGGGCCGACACUGACGCUGAGGCGCGAAAGCUAGGGGAGCGAACGGG
rnacentral:rRNA from 1 species